UACGGAGGGUGCGAGCGUUGUCCGGAAUCACUGGGCGUAAAGGGCGCGUAGGCGGCUACUUAAGCGUGUGGUGAAAGUCCGGGGCUCAACCCCGGAUCGGCCGUGCGAACUGGGUGGCUCGAGCACUGUAGAGGCAGGUGGAAUUCCGGGUGUAGCGGUGGAAUGCGUAGAGAUCCGGAAGAACACCGGUGGCGAAGGCGGCUUGCUGGGCAGUGGCUGACGCUGAGGCGCGACAGCGUGGGGAGCAAACAGG
rnacentral:rRNA from 1 species